rnacentral:lncRNA from 1 species
UUUUAUCCUUCCCCUCUUCACUCUCUCAAAAGCCCUAGCCCCAGAGGAUCGAAGAAGAAGGGAGCACCACACCACCACCACGAACAACACCACCACCGAACCGCCGCCUCCAUAGCACCACCACAGAACCACCGUCACAACAUCACCACCGAACUGCCGCCUCCACAGCACCACUACAGAACCACCGUCAAUUUCUCUCCUACUUCUCUGUAACCGUCUCUAUUGAUGUUGCCGGCCAUCGAGCCAUCGAUUCGGGGAUGAUGAAGAUGGUUGAAGGUGGUCAUGUUUUUGAAGAUCUGG